rnacentral:rRNA from 1 species
GAGUGAUCGAAAGAUGAAAAGCACUUUGAAAAGAGAGUCAAACAGCACGUGAAAUUGUUGAAAGGGAAGCGUUGGCCCCCAGACGCGCCCGGGAGGGCUCAGCCGGCACGUGUGCCGGUGUACUCUCUCCCGGGCGGGCCAGCAUCGGUUUGGGCGGUCGCUGAAAGGCCCCGGGAAUGUAGCACCCUCCGGGGUGCCUUAUAGCCCGGGGCGGCAUGCGGCCCGCCGGGACCGAGGCCCGCGCUUCGGCGAGGAUGCUGGCGUAAUGGCGGUCAACGGC